UACGUAGGGGGCAAGCGUUGUCCGGAUUUAUUGGGCGUAAAGAGCGUGUAGGCGGCCAGGUAGGUCCGCUGUGAAAACUCGAGGCUCAACCUCGAGAUGUCAUCGGAAACUAUUCGGCUAGAGUCCGGAAGAGGAGAGUGGAAUUCCUGGUGUAGCGGUGAAAUGCGCAGAUAUCAGGAAGAACACCUAUGGCGAAAGCAGCUCUCUGGGACGGUACUGACGCUGAGACGCGAAAGCGUGGGGAGCGAACAGG
rnacentral:rRNA from 1 species